UUUCACCCUUUAGCAACAGCCAACGCGGAAAUCCAGGCAGCAGAGUAAUGCACCGAGAUGGGGGUGGCUGCCGGUGGCAACAAUAAAUAGAAGAACAUGAAGCUUGUGUCUGGAGCCUCCUGACCUCAUGACGCAGAUCAGGUCCAGAACCAAGCAGGUGACUCAGCAGGGUGAGAAGUGGAUCUCAGGCAACAGGCAACAGAUGGACCUCCAGACACAGACAGGCUGUGUGACUGAAACGUUGUUUCCUGGAUUGCCCACUACUUAUAUAAUGGUUGGCAAGAGGAACAUGGAAUCUGGAUGAACAAUGGCUAUGGAGCAUCUGGAUGGAGA